rnacentral:rRNA from 1 species
AUACGGAGGAUCCGAGCGUUAUCCGGAUUUAUUGGGUUUAAAGGGAGCGUAGGUGGAUUGUUAAGUCAGUUGUGAAAGUUUGCGGCUCAACCGUAAAAUUGCAGUUGAAACUGGCAGUCUUGAGUACAGUAGAGGUGGGCGGAAUUCGUGGUGUAGCGGUGAAAUGCUUAGAUAUCACGAAGAACUCCGGUUGCGAAGGCAGCUCACUAGACUGUUACUGACACUGAUGCUCGAAAGUGUGGGUAUCAAACAGGAUUAGAUACCCUGGUAGUCCACACAGUAAACGAUGAAUACUCGCUGUUUGCGAUAUACAGUAAGCGGCCAAGCGAAAGCAUUAAGUAUUCCACCUGGGGAGUACGCCGGCAACGGUGAAACUCAAAUGAAUUGACGGGG